rnacentral:rRNA from 1 species
AGUCGAGGGGCAGCAUCAUCAAAGCUUGCUUUGAUGGAUGGCGACCGGCGCACGGGUGAGUAACACGUAUCCAACCUGCCGACAACACUGGGAUAGCCUUUCGAAAGAAAGAUUAAUACCGGAUGGCAUAGUUUUCCCGCAUGGGAUGAUUAUUAAAGAAUUUCGGUUGUCGAUGGGGAUGCGUUCCAUUAGGCAGUUGGCGGGGUAACGGCCCACCAAACCAACGAUGGAUAGGGGUUCUGAGAGGAAGGUCCCCCACAUUGGAACUGAGACACGGUCCAAACUCCUACGGGAGGCAGCAGUGAGGAAUAUUGGUCAAUGGACGAGAGUCUGAACCAGCCAAGUAGCGUGAAGGAUGACUGCCCUAUGGGUUGUAAACUUCUUUUAUACGGGAAUAAAGUUAGCCACGUGUGGCUUUUUGUAUGUACCGUAUGAAUAAGGAUCGGCUAACUCCGUGCCAGCAGCCGCGGUAAUACGGAGGAUCCGAGCGUUAUCCGGAUUUAUUGGGUUUAAAGGGAGCGUAGGCGGGUUGUUAAGUCAGUUGUGAAAGUUUGCGGCUCAACCGUAAAAUUGCAGUUGAUACUGGCGACCUUGAGUGCAACAGAGGUAGGCGGAAUUCGUGGUGUAGCGGUGAAAUGCUUAGAUAUCACGAAGAACUCCGAUUGCGAAGGCAGCUUACUGGAUUGUAACUGAC